rnacentral:rRNA from 1 species
AGAGUUUGAUCAUGGCUCAGAAUCAACGCUGGCGGCGUGCCUCAGUCAUGCAAGUCGAACGCGAAAGUUCCCUUCGGGGGGCGAGUAGAGUGGCGCACGGGUGAGUAACACGUAGGUAAUCUACCUUCGGAUGGGGAAUAACAACCGGAAACGGUUGCUAAUACCGCAUAAUGCAGCGGCACCUAAUGGUGACAGUUGUUAAAGCGGGGGAUCGUAAGACCUCGCGUCUGGAGAGGAGCCUGCGGCGGAUUAGCUAGUUGGUAAGGUAACGGCUUACCAAGGCUAUGAUCCGUAGCCGGCCUGAGAGGGCGGUCGGCCACACUGACACUGACAUACGGGUCAGACUCCUACGGGAGGCAGCAGUCGGGAAUUUUGGGCAAUGGGCGAAAGCCUGACCCAGCAACGCCGCGUGAAGGAUGAAAUCCUUCGGGAUGUAAACUUCGCAAGAACGGGAAGAAUAAGCCGGUAUUAACACCACCGGUGAUGACGGUACUGUUUGUAAGCUCCGGCUAACUCCGUGCCAGCAGCCGCGGUAAUAC